UAUGUUGGAGUAAGCUUUGUAGUUUAUUUGAAAAUUUUUGUAUGUGGAGCAAAAGAAAAUAAAGGGCUUUAGGUUGUUUAGUUGUUUGUUUUUUAGUAUUGCAUAUUGUUGGAAGAUUAUUUUUAUUGUUGAUAAUUAAUAGAAAUAAAAGGGGGAGAGAUUUUUGAUUUUAUUGUUGUAUAAUAAGAAUUAUUGUUUUUUGUUUUGAUAUGACGUCUUUUAUUAUAUCUGUGUUUUGUUUGUUUCUUAGAAAAUUGUAAGUUGUAGUUGUCUUAGGGAAGGUAGGAUUUGGAGGUUUUUGUUUUUUGGGGUUAUGACUUUUUCUGUAAGGAAAUUUGAUUUUUUUAUUUUUAUAUUAAUGUUUUAAUAUUUUAAUAGUUUUUAAUUUAGUAUAUUGUUGAAUUGGGUUUGUUGUUGAUAAUUUAGUGUUAAUGCCUGUUUUAAUAAUCAAAUGUUAAUAAAAGCCUUAGCCCUCUAUUUGGUGUUGUCUUCUGUUCUAUGAUUGUUAAAUGCCCCCCUUAGCGUGAGGGCAUAAAAGUAGCAAAAUAAUUUGUGUUUUUAAUGAAUUCGAGUAUGAAAGGGGGUUUUGUUUAUUUUUGUUUUAUUUUUGUUUUGAAUUAAAGGAGUGUUUAAUAAUUAAUGUUUGUGAUUAACCAAAGAUAAGUUUUCGGAAAUUUUGUUAAUUAUGAAGAGUUUAAGUUUUAUAGUUAUGUUGUUUAGGCAAAAUUUUGUAUAAAGGGGUUUACUAUUUUUAUGAAAGAGAGUUCCUCCCGAGUUACCAGAAAAUCCACUUUUUUUUAGAUAUUAUAGAUAAAAGGUUUUUACCUCCAUGUUUUAUUCAAUUGGCGGAGGAGUA
rnacentral:rRNA from 1 species